rnacentral:rRNA from 1 species
UACAGAGGUCCCGAGCGUUGUUCGGAUUCAUUGGGCGUAAAGGGCGCGUAGGCGGCGGGGUAAGUCGGGUGUGAAAUCUCAGAGCUCAACUCUGAAACUGCACUCGAUACUGCUCUGCUUGAGGACUGGAGAGGAGACUGGAAUUCACGGUGUAGCAGUGAAAUGCGUAGAUAUCGUGAGGAAGACCAGUGGCGAAGGCGGGUCUCUGGACAGUUCCGUGACGCUGAGGCGCGAAGGCCAGGGGAGCCAAAGCGGGAU